CCUACGGGUGGCAGCAGUGAGGAAUAUUGGUCAAUGGGCGCAAGCCUGAACCAGCCACGCCGCGUGCAGGAAGACGGCCCUAUGGGUUGUAAACUACUUUUGUAAGGGACUAAAGUGAGGUACGCGUGGCUGUCUGCACGUACUGUAUGAAUAAGGACAGGCUAACUCCGUGCUAGCAGCCGCGGUAAUACGGAGGGUACAAGGGUUAUCCGGAUUUAUUGGGUUUAAAGGGUGCGUAGGUGGGUGGUUAAGUUAGAGUUGAAAGUCUGAGGCUCAACUUGGGAGUUGCAUUUGAUACUGUAGGUCUAGAGGGCAGUAGCGGUAGGCGGAAUUCGUGGUGUAGCGGUGAAAUGCGUAGAUAUCAGGAAGAACACCGGUUGCGAAGGCGGCCUGCUAAGCUGCCACUGACGUUGAGGCUCGAAAGUGUGGGGAGCAAACAGGAUUAGAUACCCGAGUAGUC
rnacentral:rRNA from 1 species